rnacentral:rRNA from 1 species
UACGGAGGAUCCGAGCGUUAUCCGGAUUUAUUGGGUUUAAAGGGUGCGUAGGCGGACUGCCAAGUCCGGGGUGAAAUCCUCCGGCUUAACCGGAGAAUUGCCUGGGAUACUGGCGGUCUUGAGGGAGGUAGGGGCACGCGGAACUUCCGGUGGAGCGGUGAAAUGCGUUGAUAUCGGAAGGAACGCCGGUGGCGAAAGCGGCGUGCUGGCCCUCUUCUGACGCUGAGGCGCGAAAGCCAGGGGAGCGAACGGG